rnacentral:rRNA from 1 species
UCGGGAAUAUUGGACAAUGGGUGAGAGCCUGAUCCAGCCAUGCCGCGUGCAGGAAGAAGGCGUUAUGCGUUGUAAACUGCUUUUUGCCAGGGGAUAAAAAGACCGUGCGCGGUUAAUUGAAGGUACCUGGUGAAUAAGCCACGGCUAACUACGUGCCAGCAGCCGCGGUAAUACGUAGGUGGCAAGCGUUGUCCGGAUUUACUGGGCGUAAAGGGCGCGUAGGCGGCAUGACAAGUCACUUGUGAAAUCUCUGGGCCUAACCCAGAACGGCCAAGUGAUACUGUCGCGCUAGAGUGCAGAAGGGGCAAUCGGAAUUCUUGGUGUAGCGGUGAAAUGCGUAGAUAUCAAGAGGAACACCUGAGGUGAAGACGGGUUGCUGGGCUGACACUGACGCUGAGGCGCGAAAGCCAGGGGAGCAAACGGGAUUAGAUACCCGAGUAGUCCCUGAGCGGGCUGGCAAGGCGCAU